UUUAAGGGCUGGCAGCCAUCUCCACCUGCAGAAUGCCUUCCAGGGAGUGUGGCUUGAUGGGGUAUAAGGAUUACCAGGGCACCUCUAAUCAGUGGUAUAAGCACUGUGAAAUCUGCGGAGCAGGGAGAAGAGCGCCAGAAGCUGCGGCACGGCUGCGCGUCGAGCCAGUCGUUGUUGUUUCCACGGUCUCCGGUGCCCCCUCGUGGCCAACAGGUGGAAUUGCGGCCGUG